GGUGGGGAGGCGAGGAGAGGUCACGGCCCCGACAGGCCGCCUACGGGCUUGUGCUUUUCGAUCCGGCCGGCUCGAGGGGCUUGGGAUUCCGGGGAGCUCCGGGGGUCUAGGGGCCCGGAGUCCCAGGAACUCCAGAGUUCUCGGGUGGGGGGGGGGGCCCGGGGGACUCGGAAGGUCUCAGGGUCUUGGGGAUCUCAGGGGCCGGGGAACUCCAGGACUCUGGGGUUCUCGAGGGCCCAGGGCGGUCUCAGGGCGGGGUGUUUGCCUCAGGAUCCCGGAGGAUUCGGGGCACCGUGGUCGUGGCCCGCUGGCGGGGGCUUCCCAGGAACCGACGCCCUGGUUUUGCGUUUUCUGCGGCCUACACGGACUCUGGACUUGUGAAUGCAGCGAAAUCUUAAUGAAUGAGUAAUGCGACAGCAGAGUCGCCCGCGGGGUGGGGGCUACCAAUCUCCCCACCCCGGCCCCGGCCCCGCCCCCGGUCUGCGAAGCCAGACCCAGGUCCCCUGACGGUUGCCUUGCAUGGAUUCCUCUGAAAAAACAGAUAUUUCCAGUCCCAACUUCUCUCUCAAUGCCAGUCUGACAUUUCCAAUCAAUUGUGAAAUGCCCACCUGCGUGAUUUCAGAUGUGUCAAACCGGGCAUUUCUGAAAAUCGAAAACUCAUCUUCUCCCUGUAAGUAGACCUAUCCUCACACUGCCAUGCCAGAGGGCAGCCCGCGCCCUGACUCCACUGCAGACUGCAGAAAAAGGACUUGCUAAGUCCCAAGAACACAGGGCAGAGAAGACAAAGCCUGAUCCAAGGCAGAGGGUUGCAAUUAGCCCCACAAAGUGCAUUAGGAACAUCAAGGGGGGCCAGUGGAGACAAGCCCUCUGGCGUCUGACAGAGGAGAAAGUUGAUAAGGGAGGUGCAUCUGGACACUUACUACUGUAACUUCUGCUAACAGUGUGGCGACUCCCUCAGGUAACACAUGUUGUGGUAAGCCUAUGGACUUGUGACCAUGUGCUGAGCACUAUUCGAAGCGCUUAACUACGUAUUAACUCACUUAAUUCCUACAAGCCCACAAGGUGGGGGGGUAAACCAAGGCACGGAAGCUGCUCACUAGCCUGUGGUCAAACAGUUAACAGUGGCAGAGUUGGGUUUGAACCCAGGUGGCCUGGCCCAGCAUUCUUGUUCUUGACCAUUAGCUGUUCUGCUUCUCCGUCACCUUCUCAGAUCCUUUCAACAAGUCCUAUUGUUGUUACAGAAACUUCCUAUGUUCUGAAGUUGAAAAUCAUUUUGAAUCACCAUUCUCUCAGUUAUUAACUAUAAUGCCCUUUUUUGUGUUAUCAGGAGGUUAGAUAAAUAUGCCUCCUAUGUCUCCGUGGCACUUGCACAGAAAGCCUCUGGGAUAAUCAGGACUCUGUGGCCACAGUCACCUGCUGAACUGCUGGACGGCCCCGCAGAGCUCUGCUGGUGCCCUUCCUCUCCCUCGGGCGCCCGUGAGUUCCCUCAGCCUCUCCCAUCGCCCUCACGCUUACGUGGCCGGAUCCUCCUUGAAAAUCCGGUAUUUAGGUAAGUCCAACCAACCCUUGGCUUCAGACAGACAACUAUCCUUUCUUGAGCUUCUUCCUCCCUCUAGGCAAAAAUCGAACAACUUCUUACAUUUCUACAGGUCAUUAACAUUUACAAAGUGCUACACUUUUUAGUAUCAACAGCAUUCCCAACAACUUUGUGGUGUGCGGUUACCAUAGGAUUACAGGUUUGCUUCUCCCCAAAAUCACGUGGCUCUAAGUGGCAAACAGGAUGGGACCCCACUGGCCUGUAAAUGCAAUCGUUAUAUAUAGACAGUAUAUGGAGGGGACGGAACUGUUUAAAAUGGUAAUAAUAAUAUAAAGUCAAUAUACAUGAUGUUGUUGGUUUUACACAGAACAGUUGAAGCCUAGUUGGUCACGUAGAACAGAAGAGGAACCGUUCUUUGAAAGAAACCCAAAGCAGGACUCUUGACAAAGAGCAAAUACAUUAACAUGUGUGUCAGCAAAGAAAUGUGAGGUAAUUUUGUAAACCUUAUCAGUAAAAAACUGACAGGCCUUUCAUAUUUUUACUGUUCUCUCAUGAAUUUGGAAUCAUAUUUGCCAAAAAAACAAUAAACACUUGCCAUGUGAAGAGUCCAAGGCCUCAAGUCCCCACCCCAGCUCUGCCCUGUACAAGCUGCAUGUGCUGUGGUGGGUGAGUCAGCUCCACGGAGCCCUGGCCCCUCCUUGCCAAGUGGAGAAAUCAUGUCCACCCCCAAAGGAUUGUUUAUGGUGAUUAGUUAAGAGAUUCUCGGCUCCCACACGUGGCAAUGAAAUCAUCCCUCCGAGCGCGUCGUCAUGCACAAUCUGAGUUCUUUGCCAGCUUUGUAAGGGACAAGAACCAGCACACGAACAGAAGAGACGUAUGGAACACCCUCUGGUCAUGGUGCGUCUAUGGGUGUGACGUUGGGGAGGGGCUGUGGGAAAACGAGGCCACUCGCAGGAGCCGCGCAGCCGGGAGGCGUGUCUGAAGGCCCAAGCCCCGCGGUCCGGAGCCACACAGCCGGGAGGAGGCGCCCAGCAUCGCACUCCACCUGCGUGGUGAUGAGAAUCAUCGCCCUUCCCUUUGCACCUGCCCUUUGCCUGGCUCAGCGUGGCUUCCUGGGGACAGGUGUGUGUCCCGAAGCACUAAGAGGCUGCUGGUGUCUGGGGGCCCUUUUAGAGGAGAGUCGGAAAAGCCACCUGCAGUGAAGGCAGGUCACCAAUUCUUGAGCUGAUUUCCACCGUGUUUGAAGAUGUCUGGUGACUCGGGCUCCUCAGAGGGUGAGGCUCGUGGCGGAAGUAAGCCUUGGCUGUGGCGAAGGACCCUCAAGGGUGCCCUGCGGUGCUUUCCGGCGACUUCGGCCAGUCGGGGUCCGUCACGGCAACAGGCUGUCUUCCAUGCCUGUUGUGCGGAAUUGGUCUUCUCUGUUGCACUUUCUUGUUGCUGUGAUUCUCACAGAUGAAAAGUAGGGUUUGCAGCAGAAUCUGUGCCUGAGGAAUGUGAUCAAACUUCUUGCCUAAAAAGAGCCUUUGUGUGGGUGUUCGUACUUCGCCUUGCGUAGCUGUGCGGUAUCAGUGUUAGGACCCUGCCCGUCCGUGAACACUUCUGAUCCACUGUCCACAGGCCGGUGGCUUGGCGCAAGCCUGCUGUGCGGUCACCUUUCGCUCACUGAGUCACCAUCACGGGACCUUGACCGCCUACCUGCCCCUCCCGUGCACCUCGUCGCAGUGCUUGGUGAUGGGGCUGCCGUUUGCUGUUCCGAACCGGCCGGCCACACCUUCACACAGCGGGACGUGUCCGCCCUGUGGUGCGGAGCCGCCUCCUCCCUCCCGCGCGCCAACCUCACCACCCACAGUAGAGUUCCUUCUUUCAAGGAACGGUCGGUUAGGUUCGUCUUUCGGAGUCUGGGGCUGUUACGGCACCGGUGGCCGGCAGAGGCCUGGCUUAACCCGACGGCCCAAGGACUCUCUGCAGCAACUCACUACUCAUCCUCAUCCGGAGAACAUCUGGUUCCGUGCUACAGCUUCCCAGCUAGAAGUCACUGGUUCACACGUUUCAGAUACGAAAUGUAAAAACCAAGACCCUUAUUAGGAUGCGCUACGGCUCAGCGAUUGUGGCCCAUUGUGUCGGAGUCUCGAAAACGGCCACAGGGUAUGUCUGGGGAUACCCAGGAGCCCCCAUCCUGUGUGGGAGCGGCAUUCCCAAACUUUUGGGGAACGCGGCCUGAGAAGGCUCGUAAAGCUGCAGACCGUGCGUGAAUGCGGGGAGAGUCAGAAUGCCUUCUCGGCCUUUCUGAUGGAGGCCGAGGGAGCCAGAAGGGAGCACAGAUUCAAGAUGCAGCUGCCACAACCCGGUGUUAGAAACACAUUUGCCCACAGUGUCAACCCCACACGUCACCAGCACCGCUUUGUACUGAGGUAUGCAUUGUCAUCUGCCGUCUUGGUUUUGGCCACAAUUUGCCUCCCUGUGGAAGUGAUGUGCUGUAAGAGAAUCCGAAAAACCAAAACGCGGAGCCCCACCAGACUCCAGGCAGUGGACCAGAUCUGGACGACGAGUGGAAAUACUUUGUGACGCCCCAGUGUGAAUAAUAGGACACGAAUCACAGAGGGUUGUGUCUUUCCACCUGCACGCAUCCGCUGCUUGCCUGAGGCAACGGGAGAUCAUGUGUUGCUUGUGACCACCCAGUGGUUCAGAUCCAGCCCCUAUGACCUCUGGGGGGCUCUCCACGCUGGUGUGAGAAUGACAGCACCUGUAAGUAGGGUGUGAGCUGAUGGAAAGCAGUGUGCUGUGACCACAGCCCAGGACACACGUUACAGGUGACCAGAGGCAAUUGUUCGAAUUUCUCAGCAAGGCCCCUGGUGCAGCCAGCCGGUCCAGCUAACGUCACCUUCCUGAGACCCAGGUCUCGAGGGUUGUUCCCACCCCGUGCUCCCCAGUGGAGCCCGAAGGCCAGCCUGCGGCCGGCGCCCCUGACCCCUUGCAGUCAGGAACCUCCUUCUGAGCACCAGGGCGUCGGCUCUUCUGGCCUUGACCUGUGAGGCUCUCCUACCACCAGGCUACGCAGCCUCCUUGAGACAACAGAAUCACUGUGGAUGACGUCCACUCACCCACAACUGAAACUCGCGCUACCAGGAAGAGCCGCGGGGCUUGGUGGCUGGCCAGUAGACUGCAUAAAUACAAGACUCCACGUGGCUCGGCUUCACGCCAAAUGUCAGAAAGGGAAGGCCAGUGUGCCCCCCAACUCUUGGGCUUGGGGAGCGUGCACGGAGUGAGAUCAAGAGGGCAAUGAGUGAAGGCGGUGUGGAACAGGAUGGUCUUUCCCGUCUGUGUGACUCCUGCCGAGACCCACACGGCGGAUGGCAAGUCCCCGAGGGUGGAGCGCCUGGGAGCCACCUCUCAGCCGGAUGCGGGGCUGGUGUCCUUUCCACCCUCCAGAGGAGAGCCAGACGGCCACAUUCAUUCCUCUUGCUACACUCUUGCUCAAGGUCAGCACGAGGGGCCGCGAAUGCCGCUCACUUGUGUGGGGAGGUGGGCGCCCUUGGCCGCCGGGUGAGUGGAAACUCUCCUUGGAUCGGCUGUGGCCACGGCCACGCUAGGAUCCCACCCUCACCCACACUUUUGACGGGGCGACUUUUGAUUGCUGCAUUAGGCAAUGCUUUGUGGUAAACAUCAGGGUUGUCAUCAGGAAGCGUGCCACGUUAUGCUUAUGACUUUAAACAACCCAGUUUUCAAAUCUACUUUGGAAUCUGAGUGAACGUGAACUAGUCCACGUCUCCGAGGUGACCUGGUGCCAAACACUUCUCCGGGUUGGAGACACUUCCCAAGCUUCCCUGUGGGCCUGUUCUUUGGACUCUUGUCAGCAGCUCCCCCAACUCUGCUAAUGAGGUUUCUGAUAUCGUUGGACUGUUCCAGAACAUUCCAUCUCAGAAACGCUGGCAAGCCUCCUGGCACCGAGAAAGAUGCUGCUUGUGAGUGACUGUCAGCCUCGGCUCUGCAUCUGGAGAAACUGGUUAUCUUGGGGUCUGUCCCCCUAAAAACCCUCCAGACUCUUUUCUGCAGCCACCUUGAAUCUCAUUCCACCCAGUGCUCACUGCACAGAAAUCAGACUCUGAACUUGCCAGGCUCCUGAGUCUGGGUGGAGUCUGGAGAUGGGUCGGGUCUGGGUUUCCCAUUCUGCAGAGCCCGCCGGACUCGCCUCGCCCAGGCAGUGCUGCGCCCCGAAGCCUCUUCCAUGCCUGGCGCCCUCCCCCAGCUCCCCCAUCCUAUGACAGGUGCUGCCCGGCAGAGUUGUGGCUGCCGGGGACCGAGCAGGGGGACACGGAGCCGGCACCCAGGCGGCCGCUCCCGGAAGCUGGCAGAAGCAUGCUGCUGCCCGUGUAGACGCCUCCUGGCAUGGAAGGGCUGGGCCAGCGCCGGAGAUGGGAGUUCACACCUCUGUGCGGGUGCUUAACCUUUCCUGCCUGUUGACUUAGGAGCAAAGCCAGUCAGGAAAUAGGCCCGAGAGCCAGAGGGCACCCAGCCCACGUCAACUCAGUACCAACCGAGCACCCAUUGUGCUCACCCCUGACAUCCUGCACUGCGCAAAUGUCCCCAGCAGCAGGGGAUUUGGGCCACAGAGUGAAAACCCGCAGCGGUGUGAGUCUGUGUUCUCCACAUCUCAUACCACCAAUACCUAUAUUUUCAGAAUAGAUUUUUGAAGAGCAAACAACCGUGUAUCACAGAGUAAGAUGUACACCCCAACCCAAGGAUCUUAGAGCAAACACGCUUUAUUCUUGACGUCCCUCUUUGAGACCAAAACGAUUGUGGAGCUGACUCGUACCUGGAGUGAUUACAAAAUACCACAGUCAUAACAACGAGAGCCAAAAGACGUAUCGACCAUCGUUUUACCUUUCAACUGCUGAGGUCACCUACAACACCGUGCAAGAAAGCACAGUUGUGCAUUCACGAGUUGACUGUACCAACCUCUGUAAAAAUUUAGGAAUGAGCACAUCCGAGUAAAUGGAUACUUCUUUAUCUCACAGAGUAAAACCAAGCAUUUUCUACUUUAAAAUUAUUUCUGUGUAAAACAAAGACAGAACUCUUGGAGGUCAAACAAGGAAAACAGAUAGCAAGUGGAAUGCACUGUUAAAUCAUGAAACAAAGAAGAAUCUGCAGUAGAAGUCAGGCAGUAUAAUCUGCAACCUUUUUAGGGGAGUACUUAUUCCCAGCAACCAUCACAUCUCUGCACCUGGGCUAUUCUACUCCUCAACAAUUGGAAGGAGACCUAGGAGGGCUCUUCAGGUAUUCAUGGUACUCUUUGACAUCUUCUGUGAAUGUACUGGCAAACGUCUCUUCAAAAUUUGGAACAGCUUUAGAAGGGUCUGUAUUCCUGAAAUUCCCAGCAACUUAAGGCAGCUUUGCUGUUUAAUGUUUAUGUUGUUUCCAUCUCCGGCCCACAGCGUGGCCAAAGGAUCUCCCAGUACUUCACCUCUCCAAGCUCCCCAGGAAUCCAGGACGGGUGGUCCUCAGAGCACACACGCAUGCUGAGAAAUGCAAACCCGGGGAAUAAAGGGCGUGUGGCGAAAAUGAAUGAAGAAGGAGAAGGGGGCAGGAGAUGAAAAGGACACCUAAAGCCCUCUGGAGGUGCAAAGCUCAGAUCUGCCAGGUUGGAAGGGGAACGGCUUUUCCCAGGAGACUGGGAAUUAAACUGACAAAAAACAGAUUAGCAAAAGAAGAAAAGAGUUUCUUUAGGCCUGCAACGUGCACACCUGGGGAGGUUUGCAUAACAUACAUAUGAAUGUGAGCAAUUAUGAACAUCCGCGUAACAACCUCUUGGAACAAGAAGCACAUUAGCAACAAGUCCUGGGUACCUCCUGUUGAAUCGACACUGUGCUGGGGACGCAGGACCUCCGCCUGACACCACAGAGGGACUGGCCGUUGACCCCGGUCCACGGGGCUGGUAGAGAUCAGACUGCGAUUCGGUGACUCACCAGCUGUGGAACUUCGGUCACUUUCCCUGCCUCGGAGCCUCGGUCUCCUCACACACGCCGUGUUGGAGGGACACCUAUCUCAUAAGCUUGUUUGCGGAUUGAGCACGUGAGCCCUGCCUCGGUGCCACCCCAGCGGGCCUGAAGUCACGGUGUUUCAGCACACUAGGCUGCCGCCCUGGGCAGGUGUCUCUUCUCCAUCCCCUCACCCACCAUCAAGACCGAAAGUACACUGUUACAGCAGAUAGCCCAGUGACUUUCAAUGACGUUUGGUCAAAGGGAAAGGGGGAUUUUGUGGUCACGAUAGCUGGGAAGCAGUGCUGACUUCAAUGGGAGGGACAGGGCCACGAAACACCGUGGAACGUGGAAAGCAUGGCCCCCCCAAGAAUGUCGUCAGCAUCCCCUCUGAGAAACAAAGCCACGUCUGAGAGUCCAGAAGGGAAUAAAAAAGGAUUGAACAAGC